GCGCCCGUGGCUCAAUGGAUAGAGCGCCGGACUACGAAUCCGUAGGUUGUAGGUUCGACUCCUACCGGGCGCG
rnacentral:tRNA from 1 species